CAUGUGGCUGUGAAAUGUUUGUCAGGAUAGAGACCCACAGAUCUCGGAGCCUUCUCCUCCGUUGCCACUCAAUCAGACAUCGCUCUGCGCCUGAGAGAAGAGUCUUUGAUUGGAAUAAUCAAGAACUCUUAUUUUGGUGAUGUUCCUCGAGGGCAGAGACACGUCACGUCUUCAUGUCAGUCAAACAAACUGUUUUAGAGGCCUGCACACAGGGUGCGUUCAGAGAGAACAUCAGAGCAGAAUACAAAGCGGACAUGGAGACACAGGAAGACUUAAGCAGACGACUGCAGGCCACGUCAAGUGACAGAGCCAAUAGUCGUUUUUCUUAAACCAAAACUCACAGGAUCCCUGCCAGCAGACACUCAGUGAGAGUGAAGACCACACGUCAAUUUUAAGACUGAGCAGCAACGACGUUUCAAAGUCAAAGAACAAGUGUCUUGUUGCUCAUACUUUUUCUUUUACACUAAUAAGAACCUGUUUUAAUGAGAAGAGGAGACAAAACUUUUUUUCGCAGGCAAAACAAAUGUGAAAAUGUGCAUAAUAUGAAUAUUUUGAUUCUGGAAAUGUGAUGAACAUAUUAAUAAACAUUUCAU